rnacentral:tRNA from 1 species
UCUAAUGUGGCAGAAUAAUGCAAUGAAUUUAAGACUCAUUUAUAAAUUUCAUAAUUUCUUUAGAA